AUUUGUGUAGUUUAAUAAAACAUCGCAUUUUCAUUGCGAAAUUAGAUCAAGUCUCACAAAUU
rnacentral:tRNA from 1 species